CACAAUAAACAUAUGAGCCCCACAGGCUUCAGGCUGGAUUAUUUUAUUACCCUUGUCUUUUGCGCACUUGUUGUUUCCUGGGCGGGUUCGCCCGCCACCAGGACCACACUAUAAACCUUUUUUAUGCAGUUGCAAUCAGCGUCAGUACAACAAAUGUAAAUCAUUUA
rnacentral:misc_RNA from 1 species